UUAAGUGACUAAGCGUACACGGUGGAUGCCUGGGCAGUCAGAGGCGAUGAAGGACGUACUAACUUGCGAUAAGCGCAGAUAAGGCAGUAAGAGCCGUUUGAGUCUGCGAUUUCCGAAUGGGGAAACCCAACUGCAUAAGCAGUUACUGUUAACUGAAUACAUAGGUUAACAGAGCAAACCGGGGGAACUGAAACAUCUAAGUACCCCGAGGAGAAGAAAUCAACCGAGAUUCCGGUAGUAGCGGCGAGCGAACCUGGAUUAGCCCUUAAGCACUCGGUGAAGUAGGUGAACAAGCUGGAAAGCUUGGCGAUACAGGGUGAUAGCCCCGUAACCGACGCUUCAUCGAGCGUGAAAUCGAGUAGGGCGGGACACGUGAUAUCCUGUCUGAAUAUGGGGGACCAUCCUCCAAGGCUAAAUACUCCUGACUGACCGAUAGUGAACCAGUACCGUGAGGGAAAGGCGAAAGAACCCCUGUGAGGGGAGUGAAAUAGAACCUGAAACCGUGUACGUACAAGCAGUAGGAGCACCUUCGUGGUGUGACUGCGUACCUUUUGUAUAAUGGGUCAGCGACUUAUAUUCAGUGGCAAGGUUAACCGUAUAGGGGAGCCGUAGCGAAAGCGAGUCUUAACUGGGCGCUCAGUCUCUGGAUAUAGACCCGAAACCGGGUGAUCUAGCCAUGGGCAGGUUGAAGGUUGAGUAACAUCAACUGGAGGACCGAACCGACUAAUGUUGAAAAAUUAGCGGAUGACUUGUGGCUAGGGGUGAAAGGCCAAUCAAACUCGGAGAUAGCUGGUUCUCCCCGAAAGCUAUUUAGGUAGCGCCUCGGACGAAUACUACUGGGGGUAGAGCACUGUUAAGGCUAGGGGGUCAUCCCGACUUACCAACCCUUUGCAAACUCCGAAUACCAGUAAGUACUAUCCGGGAGACACACGGCGGGUGCUAACGUCCGUCGUGGAGAGGGAAACAACCCAGACCGCCAGCUAAGGUCCCAAAGUAUUGCUAAGUGGGAAACGAUGUGGGAAGGCUCAGACAGCUAGGAUGUUGGCUUAGAAGCAGCCAUCAUUUAAAGAAAGCGUAAUAGCUCACUAGUCGAGUCGGCCUGCGCGGAAGAUGUAACGGGGCUAAGCAAUACACCGAAGCUGCGGCAAUGUCUUUUAGACAUUGGGUAGGGGAGCGUUCUGUAAGCCGUUGAAGGUGAAUCGUAAGGUUUGCUGGAGGUAUCAGAAGUGCGAAUGCUGACAUGAGUAACGACAAAGGGGGUGAAAAACCUCCUCGCCGGAAGACCAAGGGUUCCUGUCCAACGUUAAUCGGGGCAGGGUGAGUCGACCCCUAAGGUGAGGCCGAAAGGCGUAAUCGAUGGGAAACGGGUUAAUAUUCCCGUACUUCUGACUAUUGCGAUGGGGGGACGGAGAAGGCUAGGUGGGCCAGGCGACGGUUGUCCUGGUUCAAGUGCGUAGGCUUGAGAGUUAGGUAAAUCCGGCUCUCUCUAAGGCUGAGACACGACGUCGAGCUACUACGGUAGUGAAGUCAUUGAUGCCAUGCUUCCAGGAAAAGCCUCUAAGCUUCAGAUAGUCAGGAAUCGUACCCCAAACCGACACAGGUGGUCGGGUAGAGAAUACCAAGGCGCUUGAGAGAACUCGGGUGAAGGAACUAGGCAAAAUGGUACCGUAACUUCGGGAGAAGGUACGCUCUUGAUGGUGAAGUCCCUCGCGGAUGGAGCUGACGAGAGUCGCAGAUACCAGGUGGCUGCAACUGUUUAUUAAAAACACAGCACUGUGCAAAAUCGCAAGAUGACGUAUACGGUGUGACGCCUGCCCGGUGCCGGAAGGUUAAUUGAUGGGGUUAGCGCAAGCGAAGCUCUUGAUCGAAGCCCCGGUAAACGGCGGCCGUAACUAUAACGGUCCUAAGGUAGCGAAAUUCCUUGUCGGGUAAGUUCCGACCUGCACGAAUGGCGUAAUGAUGGCCACGCUGUCUCCACCCGAGACUCAGUGAAAUUGAAAUCGCUGUGAAGAUGCAGUGUACCCGCGGCUAGACGGAAAGACCCCGUGAACCUUUACUACAGCUUGGCACUGAACAUUGAACCUACAUGUGUAGGAUAGGUGGGAGGCUAUGAAGACGUGACGCCAGUUGCGUUGGAGCCGUCCUUGAAAUACCACCCUUGUAUGUUUGAUGUUCUAACUUAGACCCAUUAUCUGGGUUGAGGACAGUGCCUGGUGGGUAGUUUGACUGGGGCGGUCUCCUCCCAAAGAGUAACGGAGGAGCACGAAGGUGGGCUAAUCACGGUUGGACAUCGUGAGGUUAGUGCAAUGGCAUAAGCCCGCUUAACUGCGAGAAUGACGGUUCGAGCAGGUGCGAAAGCAGGUCAUAGUGAUCCGGUGGUUCUGUAUGGAAGGGCCAUCGCUCAACGGAUAAAAGGUACUCCGGGGAUAACAGGCUGAUACCGCCCAAGAGUUCAUAUCGACGGCGGUGUUUGGCACCUCGAUGUCGGCUCAUCACAUCCUGGGGCUGAAGUCGGUCCCAAGGGUAUGGCUGUUCGCCAUUUAAAGUGGUACGCGAGCUGGGUUUAGAACGUCGUGAGACAGUUCGGUCCCUAUCUGCCGUGGGCGUUGGAAGAUUGAAGGGGGCUGCUCCUAGUACGAGAGGACCGGAGUGGACGAACCUCUGGUGUUCGGGUUGUGUCGCCAGACGCAUUGCCCGGUAGCUAAGUUCGGAAUUGAUAAGCGCUGAAAGCAUCUAAGCGCGAAGCGAGCCCUGAGAUGAGUCUUCCCUGACAGUUUAACUGUCCUAAAGGGUUGUUCGAGACUAGAACGUUGAUAGGCAGGGUGUGUAAGCGUUGUGAGGCGUUGAGCUAACCUGUACUAAUUGCCCGUGAGGCUUAACCAU
rnacentral:rRNA from 2 species